rnacentral:rRNA from 1 species
GUGGGUAGUCCGCACGAGCGCACCUCACUUUUAGUUGCCAUCAUUAAGUUGGGCACUCUGAAAGAACUGCCAGUGAUAAGCUGGAGGAAGGUGGGGAUGACGUCAAGUCCUCAUGGCCCUUACGUGUUGGGCUACACACGUGCUACAAUGGCAUCUACAACAGGAAGCAAAACGGCAACGUUAAGCAAAUCCCGAAAAGAUGCCUCAGUUCGGAUUGCACUCUGCAACUCGCGUGCAUGAAGCUGGAAUUACUAGUAAUCGUGGAUCAGCGUGCCACGGUGAAUGCGUUCCCGGGUCUUGUACACACCGCCCGUCACACCAUGGGAGUUGGUUCUACCUUAAGGCAAGGUUUUAAACCCUUGACCACGGUAUAGUCAGCGACUGGGGUGAAGUCGUAACAAGGUAGCCGUAGGGGAACCUGCGGCUGGAUUACCUCCUUUCU